AACCCAUGCUGAGGACAUUUCCGUAGGAGAUCCUUAAACCUAUCCCAUCUAUGAAAAGGAGACUCCAAUUCCGUUUGCACAAAAGAAGAUAUUUCAUUCUUGAGCUU